rnacentral:lncRNA from 1 species
UCUUCUAUAGGUACUCUGAAGAUUUUUUUUUUUUUUGGGGGAGGGGGGGGGGCACCAGGUAUAAUCAAUUACUGCACAAUAGCAUCACAUGCUGCAAAGUACAUCACAGUACAUCAUCAACAGAAACAGAUGAAAUGGACCAAUAAUCAGUUGGCCAACGGACAAGAAUUUCAUUACACCCUACAGAUUUCUCCUUCGAGCUUAAAGGUAAGCAGCAGCAUGGAUGUUAGGCUCAUUUUAAGGCCUUUUUUUGGGUUAAUACUUAAGGAAAGCCAGAGCCAAAAAGACAAAAUGGAACAUGUCAGGCCAUAGAAGUCAACAGAUUAAGAAAAUGUCAUUCAGGCUAUUUCUGUAUUCCAGUUCAAUUUACAAAUCAGUAUAAAAGCCAUCUAGCAAUCUCAUUCGGUGCAAAUUCCCAGUAUCAGAGGUUCCACAGGGUUCCAACUCAAUUUUAUCAUACUAAUUCAAUUCUGACUUUGUUAUUAAAAACGCUUAUGUACAAAUAUCCUGACCAGCACUCCAAAUAUCAACCAUCCUAUGCAAUUUAUCCAAGAACACAUUCUAACAACCUAUUUCCACAACGAAUCAAUAUCUUGUAAGCAACAGAAAGAGGGGUUCUAACCAUUCAAACACAAGGUUAUAUCAUCUCUAGCACCAAGUUGCUCUUUUGGCAUAACUUUUUCCUAACACUUUACAACAUCAAGAAUAUAAGUGGAAGCUCCUAUUAAAUUUAUUACUACAGAUUCCAGGAAACUACUAGCUCCAUGAGAAAUAACCUCAAUGGUUUCUCCUCCAGAACAAUGCUUCUAGUUCUUUAAUUAAUUAAAGGGAGGUUGCCAAGUUGAAAAGACCAUUUUCGAGUGCACAAAGAAACUUGGUUGCUUUCUUUAUUUAUAAUUCAUCUAGACUAAUAUUGAAACAUUCAAUAACAUAGUUAUUGUGGUUCACAAUUCAGUGUAGUAAUAUGAUAGGGGUUUAUGGGACUUAAAAAGAAGGAAAGUAAACUAUACAAAUAUAUAUUUCACAUAUGAUGAGUCACUUUACUCUAGAGAAAGCAAGUUGCUUGGGUGUUGAUUGCACCAAAGCUUUCAUAUAUUGAGAAACAGACUCUCAGCCAGAGAAAUACAAUUCCCAUUGCUAUGAUUCUCAAAAGAUUUCUCAAAGUAUCAGAAUGAUAAACUCUAAGAAGGUAAAAUUGCAGGCAAAAAAAAUUAACUUCUUUGGAUACCAAGUGAAUUGAUCCUUUUCGUAUAAAAUGGUACUGCAUGCAAUAACAAUUGGUUUCAUUUCCAAACUAGUCAACCAGACUAUGGAAGGCUGGAAGCACAAAGUACAUUCCUGAUUACCCAAAAGAUAACCACAAUACACACCAUAUACAAACUAUUCGUCAGUAGAGAAGAGAAGGGAUUGCCAAAAGCAUUAUGAAUCCAUAUAGCACAUGAUAGACUUACAAGCAUGCAUAAGUAUCUGCCUUGUACACUUCAAUAAACAUUGUCGCUCAAUGUAAUACUGAACCAUUACCUUCAUGAAAACAAUUAACACUGUAAUGAGUACUAAUCUUAUGUAAUUUUUGGUAUUCAAAUUUAUCAAGCUUCGAAUGCAGCACUCAGCACCAGCGCAGUGAGCUAGAGAACUGCAGUCUAAAGCAAGAUUAUUUAAACAAGAAAUGGAAAGACAGCCCGGAUAGCACCACAGGAUACAGCUACCAACCAAGUGAAGGAGGUCGCCAAGCAUGGAAUCAAUUGAUAGGGAAUUAUGCUCAACUGAUCUUUCAACAAGAACAUACGACUGCACCUCGUUUAAGCACUGAAACAAAAACAGAAACAAAAUUCCGGGUCUGAUAAAGUUAACAUGUAUUACGAAGGUUUUCUCCAGUUGAAUCAGGUAAGCAUUGUUGACUCUAGCACAUUUUACUCUCCAUUCUCUUUUUUCCAACCUUGCACAAUAGCUAGGCUGAACUUUUCUAGCCACAAACAGAAGUACUGAUAAGAAAGAACGUGUUUACAAGAAUGUAAUUCUGACAAAAUUUCACCCCAUUGGAGGUUGUGACUCUUCUAUAACAAAUGCACGUAAUACGCCCGUCAGGAAAUCAUUCUAGGCCUAAAGUGUUCCCUUUAUCACUUUUCUCUGAUAAUAAUAAUCAUAAGCAUAAUACGGAAAAUGUCGUCCAGAACCAACAAAAAUUGCCCGAAAAGCUGCGGCAAAAGAAAAAAGAAAACGGAAAAUUUACCAGUAGAGAGCUAAUUUUGAGGGCGGCAUCUCUGAGAGCAGGUUGAAUGGUCAAUUGAUGCGAACCUAGCUUUAAUUGUUUGGAAUCCAGUGCUAACGCUUCCCUUGAUUUCUGGUCCGGUGGCUUAAACAUUCUAACAGUUUCCAAAAACCACGCAUGAUUGUCCUUCAAUUUCUUCUCCUGAGAAUUGGAAAAGUAAUUAAAAUCGGUCAACAUUAGAGAAAAACGAUAUGGAAGAAAAACACAGGUGCAGUGUAGGUGAAGUUUACCAGAGAAGGAGGGAGGUCGGAGGAAAGGGAAACGUCUUCGAGCUCCGUGAGUAGGUGACUGAAGGAAUCCCACCAGAGCGAGGCAUCUAGGGCUCUAACGGCGUUGGGAGCUUCACGCUCACUCGCAUUUGCAGUUGCUGCCAUUGUUGAAUUCGGAUUUUGAAACCCUACGGAGGUUUAUGGAAAAGAAAAAGAAAAAGAAAAAGGAAGGGAGCCCGCGCACUUUUGCUCGAUGACUGAUGAGGGAGUGCAGAAAGAAGUAGAGUGAACUAGCGAAGUAAAGUGGACUAGCAAAACAGAAAAUUCAGUUGCUGUGAGGACCAUCUAUACGACAUCGUUUGAAGAUUACGCUCCCUUAAGCACAUCUUAUGAAAGCGCAAGAGUUUCAACCCCGGGUCUGAGAGGAGUAACUGCGCCUUUACGUGCCCUCUUAAAAAAACGCGAGCUGGAGACAGCAUUAACAACCACGCCCAUGCCCUGCUCUCACCGCUCCUUUGCGUGAAACUGAUCAGUUGCAAGGCCAAACUCUUCUGCUUUACGUAGUAUUUGCUAGUUUCUGAGCGCCAGAGAGUCCUCAAGUCAAGACAAUAGUAAGAGACUGGAAUAGCAAAACAAAUGUAGAUUCUAAAAUCCAGCAAUUACCGACUGUGGAUUUAAUGAAUAACCAAUGAAGAACAAGAAAACGAUGGAUGGGUAAUCUGCUUUGAUGUGUAAUACUAAUAAAUUCUUGUGUUGCACUGGCUCGCACUGCAUAAAUUGGGACUACUGCCAAACUGGGUCCAUCUUCAUACAUUGCCAAGCAGCCACCCAAGACUCUGAUUGUAUCAUUAGUAACACCCCAGAUUGUGUGUUUUUUUCGCUCAUGCUCUUUAUUUUCGGCGGAUUCCUCAUCCCUGUUUUGUCUGAGACGUCAGUCUUUGAUUGGAGUCUCGAGUCAGGUGAAGGGAACAGACAAGCAUAGCAUUUAGGGAUAAUUUCAGAAAACUCAGCUGAGGACUCUCACAAUUUUCCUGGCCUCUCCUAAAGUUUGUAAAAUUACACAAACUUCCCAUAAACUUAAGAUUUUGAUAACAAAAUUAGUCCAAUUCGAAAAAUAACUUUAAAAAAAUACUUUAAGAAGAGCGUUGAAACUUUUAUUUCAUAAAUACACCUUAUGCAUGUAUACAAGUUGUAUUAGUAAAAGAACGAAAAUAAUUAAAAGUCGAAAACAAUUAAUACACACAUUUUAUUACUCAAAAAACUCACGUUUAAUGAAUUAGAUAAUAUAAACAAGUAACAAGACUACUCUAAUGAUCAUAAGAUUCAGCAAAACAAACUGUUCAUCUCUUUUGAUAUUAUAUUUGCUACGAUUCUUGUGAUAUUAAACAGAAAAAAUUUUCAAAUUUUACCUUUCUUUUCCCCAGUUUCUCAUUUACUAAUAUCUAACGAUUAAGUAAUUAGAAUAAUAAUUAGCUAUUAGUAACUAAUUAACUGAAAUAACUGUUGAAAAUUUCUUUAAUUAUGAAUGAUGACUUGUAAUUACAAGAUAACAUCAAGUAAUAUACCUAAUGACGCUAUUUUGUAAUUAGUAGAACUUGACAAUGACAAUAAAUCAAUUGUACACAAUAUGAGAAGAAGGGUUUUGGUAGAAGAGAAAAAUACAAGGCAAAAGAAGGUUAUUCAUGAGGGCAUUUUCUUUGAAACUGUUAAAAUUGUGACAGUUGUAAAGUAAUUUCGUGAAAGUAUUUUUGUUCGAAAUCACAAGAAUCAUAACAAACAUCACAUUAAAAGAGAUGACUAAUUUGUUUUACUGAUUCUUGUAAUUAUUAGUGUAAUUUUGUUGUUUGUUUAUGUUGUCUAAUUUAUUAAAUGUGAACUUUUUGAAUGGUAAAAUGUGUGUAUUAUUUGUUUUUAACUUUCAAUUAUUUUUAUUCUUUUACUAAUACAAUUUAUAUACAUGCAUAAUAGGUAUUUAUGAAAUACAAGUUUUAUAUCUCUUUUUAAAGUACUUUUUUAAUGUUCAUUUUUUUAAUUGGAUUAAUUUUGUUAUCAAAAUCUUAACUUCAAAAGAGGUUUGGGUAAUUUUGCAAACUUUAUGGGAGACUAGUAAAAUUGUCAAAAAUUUAGAGGAGAUUUCUAAAAUUAUCCCUAGCAUUUAUGGCCUCCCAAAACUAGCUAUCGGCCCGCGCUUCCACGGUGUACAGACAAAGGCUGCAAACGAAUCAGCAGCUCGAAUACGAGCUCGGUCAAUAUCGAGCUCGAGCUUGAGUUUAAAAACAUUGAGCUCGUUUUAUUUUUUAUUUUAAUAGUAAAAUUACAUACAUAUUCAUAAUAUUUUAUUAUUUAUUAAGAAAAUUUAUUAUUUUAUUUAUUUUUUAAAAUAAAAUAAUUGUUUAUUAUUUUUUUAAAUAAAAUAAUAAUAAUUUUUUUAAGCUCUAACUCGACCUCGAGUUCGAGUUUGAAUUUCAUAAAAUUAAUUGGAGGCUCGGUUUGAUUAGACCAAAACUCGACUCAAUUCAGCUCGUUUGUACCCCUAGUACGGACCAUUGUGUUCCUAUACUGCUCAAAUCGAAUCAUUCAAUAGGUUUAGUGUUCUUGUUCUUUUUACGACUAGAAUUUCCUUCCAGUUUUUAAACUUGAUUGCUGAAUUGGAAUUAGCUGGGUGCAGUGACAGAGUCAGGAUUUUUUUUUUUUGAGGGGUCAAAAUUUUUUCUAACAAAAUUAGAUCAAUAUGUUAUGUUCAAGAUAAUUUUCAUCUAUUUAAAUAUAUGAUUUCUAAAAAUAUCAAAUACUAACUUUAAUUAUAAAAGUAUAUCUAUUUUAUAAAUAUGCAUCAUAGUAUAAUGAAAAUUAAGACAAAAAAUAAUCUUUGAUUAAAUAUCUUAGAACAUCACAGACCACUCAAGUUGCACAUCAUGAGAAAAUGGUCCAACAUGUCACCUAUGAAGAAAAAUAUAACUAUUUUCAAUUUAAAAAAGAUAAAAGUGAUGUUAACAUAUCUUAAAAUUUCAACAUCUUUUUUUAAAAGUAAAUUAAGGAUUAUGUUUUUUCAUAGAACUAAAUUUAUUUAUGAUUGAAUAAGUGCUAAAUUUUCUAACAACUUCCUUUUUUAUGUACACAGUUAGAUAAUCAUUUAAGAAAUUAUUUUUCAACUUAUUUUGGAGCUUUAUUUUAAUUAUCUUCAUAAUUGAAAAUGCCCAAUCUGUAGUUGCAGUUGACACAGAAAGAGUAAGAACAAGUAUAAUCAACUGGGUUAAACUGUAUAUUUGUAUAUGGGUCAAUAAAAUAAUUAUUUUUGUUUUAGCCCAUUGAUAAUUAUGAAUUGGGUCUUUUUGUUAGAAUAUAUCAUAUUGGGUCAAUUUACUAUAAAUUAUCAAAUUGUAUAUUUAAUUUUUUGAAAGUUAAAUAAUUAGCAUAAUAAAAAAUAAAUAACUUUUCUGAAAAAAAUUAAUUUAAAGGUGGAUAAUUCAUACACACACACAAAACAUAUAAACUCUCAUAAUAUAAAUUAAAAUUAUAAAAAUUAGGGUAAUUAACUUUGUUUUACACAUACAUUUACACAGGGGAGCCAUGGCCCCUGAGCCCCCUUGGCUCCGUCAUUGGCUAGGUGAUGGAUUCAAAUCGGUAAACGAAGUGCCACUUUUUUCUUUUUCUUUUUUUUUUUUUCAAGUUUUGAAAGCCUACUAUAUUUGCACCAAAUGUUGAAGUGCUUGUCUCCUGUUUAUGAUCUCGCUUUGUUAAUUAAGCGUUACUCAAAAAUGAGUCGGAGUGUAUUAUUUUCCAACGAUGAAAAUUUACACUACUUGCACAUUGCUCUGAAUUUUGAAUGCUCAACAACACCGACAAUGACACGACUGUUUCUUAGUGACACAGACGGUACAGAUUUUGAUACUUUCUCACCAGUUCUCCUUGUUACUAUAGGAUACACCCAAAAAAAAAAAAAAAGUACUCAACAUGCAUGGAAUAGAAAGCCUUAUAUUUUUGGACUAUAAAUUCUGGAACAUUAGGAAUGAGAUUUGGUAGGAGGAGUUGGAGAUUUGUGCCCGGACUUGGGUAAGUUGAAAUACCUCCUCGGAACAGUGGGAAUAGGGGGAAGUGCGGGUAUUGGGGGAGCUCUUGGAAUUGGAGAAAAUGAAUUGCUGGGCGUAGCCGAUGAUGGGGAAGGCCGUACAUAAGAUAAGGGUGAUGGUGCCUGCUCAUGCGAUGGAUUUGGUUGAGGAAGUGAUGCUGGAGAAAUAAAAAUGGGAGGGUUAGCUGGAUCAUUUGGUUUUUCAACUGGUAGAGGCGGUGGAGAUGAUUUCUUAAAUUUUGGAGCUGGUGGAGGAUACGGUUUGUGAAUGAUAGGCAUUGGUGAAUCUGAAGAUGGAGGCAGGGGCUUCUGAUAUGUUGGAGCCAGUGGAGGAUAUGGUUUCUGAAUGACAGGCUCUGGUGAGUUUGCAGAUGGCGGAAGGGGCAUCUGAUACGUUGGAGCUGGUGUAGGAAGUGGGAUUCCAGCAAGAGGAGCAAGUGCUGGAAAUGGAUAAUGAAUGUCUGGAACAAGAGGAGGAAUUAUUGGUGGGAAAAUUUGAAUAGGAUGGGUAAGCAGUUUCCUUGACACUGAAACUGGUGGUCGAGCCAAGUUUUGUUUCUGCUGGGGUGUUGGUUGGAGAGGCUUAAUAUAUUCUGUGAAAGUUGGUGGCAAUCUUUCAAUAUUUCCAUUUUUUGAUUGUCUCGGAGAAGAAGAUUCUACUGGGUUGCCCUCGUCGGACAUCCUUGAAAUCGCUGCAAUGCAUGAAUUGGAAGAAAAUUUAAGCCUCGGUGUCGUGGCUGAGGUUUGGUUUGGGUAAUCUAUAGACUUGAGCAUCACGGCCAAGAUCCUCUUGGCCAAUUGUACCGGACAUGGCGCGCCUGAUGAACUGUGGAGCUUCAGAUAGCAUUCCUUUUCCCUCAUAUCAGCUUCAAGAAAAUUAACUUCGAAAUUCCCUUUGGCAUCAAAAUCUCCUUUUCCCAGAGUCCUAAAGUUCCCAUCAGGAGACUUGCAUUCAAUUGCCAGGCGUUCCCCUGCACAACAGAAGCCUCAAGCAUCAAUUUUGACACCAAGUUAGGUCUCGCCAUCCGCAAACCUGAGCUAGAUUCAAUCUCUUGAAGGAAACAAACGUACAGUAAAUCAGAAGAAUGAGUGCAUAAACUCAAUGCUAAUAGUGAGAGAAGAUUAAAGAUUAGAGAGCUUGUUCAACAUCAAGUACCGCCAUAGGAUUCACGGUUUGUCAGUGUCAACUUAUAAGAGCACGAACGCUCAUUGCAAUCAAAUGCAUGCAUAUGGAAGAUCAAUUUGCAUAUAGAUGACAUGCAGAAGAGCUUGUUGCACUUUGACAGACACGGUGCUCGUGCCGGAAUGGACGCAAGACAAUAUAGAUUUCAUUAAGUCGUGCCAAGCAACGUAAAAAAAAUAAUAAUAGUGAACUGCACCUGAAGAAGUUGGAUGCCAGGUUUUUACUACAUCAGAGGUGCAUCGUGCACGCUCGGUGGAUCCAACUAUUUUGACUUGGACAUGCUUGCCAUGGCACAGGCUCGAAGCCAAAAGUAGGGUCAGAUAGAAGCCUAACCAGCCUUCUCGACGGAACUGGGGAAUCCCCAUUGGGGCGGUAUGUUGCAGGAUGUUAGAAGCACUGAGCAGAGAUGAAACGGAGCAACGCAAUAGGCAUCCGGUCUGGCUCAAAGUUGAGCUCUCUUCUUAGGCUAGAGAUUAAUUUUCGGAAUCUACAGGACCACUUAUAUGACGAAUUCGUGAUCUCCGAGGGCUAUUCUUCAAUGCUGCACUAUGGUAGUAAUGCCACCGGCAAAGCUGAUAGAAACACGGAACAAGCAUUCAAAUGAACAGCGCAUCUCUGUACUCAAAACCGUACCUACCAACCAGCCAUCCUGAAUAUCUAUCAAUUUUCCAACAAGAAUUAAGUGCACAUUCGUUUAGGUGGAGCACAUGAUAGUUGAAUUUCGCAUUCUCAACUAGACUAAGUAACAUGCGAGUUUAGCAAGACCAUGGAGAGUUUCAAAAUAAGUUUGCACUGAUCAGGAAUUAUGCUCAUUGACACCCGUCAAAACUUCAUUACAUUCAUAAUCAGCUCUCGUUUAUUAAUAGCUAGCUUUGAUUAUUGUAUUUCAGUUCCCAACUGCUAGUAAUUCGUUUCUUCGACAGAGAUGAACUGAUUAAGUGUGUAGGGGAACCAAUGAUUUGUGCAGUGCCUCACGUCAGAUGACUUCAAGAACAGACAGUUGUUUUUGGUACUACAGAAUAACGUGGCCAUUCAGGGAGCAGAACUCGGAAACCGCAAGAUGGCUUCAAAGCCCUUUUCUGUUUUUUCUUUACCAGAACUUUGCCAGUUUAUUACUACAUCCAUGCAUGCGUACGUGAAAGUACAGAAAAUUGGCCCCACAUGAAACGAUGAGAAGCACCUAAACUUCGCAUUCAAAUACCCAAGAAAAAUACUCCUACAUGAUCCCAAUUUGCUCCUCUUGUUGUCCUUUCCAUGUCAUCAGUUCGCCCCAUGACUAUUUACUACUGUGGUACAAUCAACCCAAGAAAAACUCAAUUGAAUAUGACCUCUCAGUAUUUUAGAUACACAUAUUGCACGAAAAUAACAGACUUGUACUUGUCAUCAAUGAAAGUAAUAAGUUGAGGGGUAACGUGUGACCCCUUGUGUAGAUAAAGAUCGAAAAAGUCAAAUCUAGCCUCAAGGAAAACAACUGAAUUUUGGCCAGCAAUACACCCUUAAUGUUUUUCUUCAAUCUUCCCAAAUUGACAAAUUAUUGAUUCAUUUACUGAAAGGCAUACUUUUAACUUCCUUACAACAUUUCUACCUGUCACAUGACAGAGUCAAAUUCAAUCUAUGAUUAAUGAGUUGACUGUAUCAUUUGGGAAAAUUGAAAGUUUAGAGUGCGAGCGGUCUAAACCCUGUUUGGUAAUCCAAUUCAACACUUAAAGUUAAUGAGUUCAAAUUUUAACAUAUUUAGACAAUUUAAUAACCAAAAUUGAACAUUUGAAUUAAUUAAGUGACAUUGAAUUUCUAGGUAAAACUUGCUCUCAAAAUUAAGUGAUAAGUUAUUCACUUAUCACUGAAUGUGAUAUGCACUCAGAUAUAUUAGAUUUAAUACUUAACAAUUCAAUAACUUAAUGGAUUUAGAUUUCAGAUUUCAGACUUCAGUUUUAUCAAAUGCACCCUAAAUAGACAAUGAGAGGCGGGGUAAAAAAGAUUAAAGUAAUCUUUAAAGGGUUAUAUUGUAAAUAUCAUUUUUAGUCAUGAUUAAUUGCCUCGGGUUUAGAACAAAUUGUGCAUUAACUUGUUAAACUUCAGUGACAAAUGCACUUUUUAAUCAAUGCAUGCCAUGCCGCAUUCGCUUGUAGUAUUACGUACACAUGUUGUUUUCCCCUUUCUGAAUGUUUAAGAAAUAAUUUCCGUCAUUUUCUGGUCGCUGAUUAUGAUUGAGGAUUGAUCACGCAAAACACCUGCUUGUCAAGUGAUCACUGUGAAAUUGCGAAGAUUUGAAGUUGAUGUCCAUGAAUGCGACUUUAGUACCACAAUUCUUUUCUUCUCAUAAUGAAUCUAAAAGAAACUUUGUUUUGAAGAUAUAUAAAAGAAACUUUUUAGAAGAAAGUGUAAACCUUAACGUUAAUGAAAAUGCCAUUGUUCAAAAAAAAAAAUAAUAUUUUUACAGAAUUAAUUGUUGUCACAGCGUUUGCCUAAUUGACCUAACAGUCAAAUACUACCAACCAGCUAAGUUUUUUUUCCCCCUAAAUAGUGCUAUUUAACCAUUGUUCUGCUUCAUAUAAUAGUCUCAGUAAAUAUCCAGCCAAGAAAUUUGAAGUUUAACUACAGAAAUUUACUUCGGUAAUUAUCAUUUCACUCCUAAUUGGACCAAAAUGGCAGAAAAAUAGGCAAAACUAGAUGGCCAAAACUCGAAAGUUCAAGAUGCAAUAGGCAACAAGGUGAACAUUCAGAGUGGGAAUCACAACCAGACGUCUAAUACACACACACACACACACACACACACACACAUAUAUAUAUAUAUAUAUAUUUGUUUUUGAGAUAUUAAUGUUACAGAGUUUGAGAGAUAAUUACACAUGUUGCAUGGUGGAAUCAAGCAAAGAAGGAUUAGAUCAACGAGAUAGCUAACAAAUUCUGCCUGAAAACCUCUGGUGAAGAUUUCUGCUUGUGUUUUGAUGUUAAUCAAGUAGUUUACUUCGUAUAGUUCAUUGGUGAAUUCAAACAAGGGAGUACGUAAUUGUAAUUCUCUCAUGUUUGUAGAACAAGAUACUAAUAACUAAAACCAUGUAAAGUAAGUAAAGUAUAUCGUUCUCCCAUGACGUUCGCGUACUGAUUUACCAAUCUGUACAGUGUUCUUCAUUAAUAACGCGGUAUAUUUGUCUGGCAAAGCCGGUUUACUCACUUCCACCUUCCACCAUGUAUGAUUCUUUAUCAAUACUCUCCAGAAAUAGAAUAGAUAUUGAACAUCAAUCAAGCACAAUUUGAUCUGUUCAAUCAGUCCGGACGCGCGGUAUCAAUGCAUGGAAGAAAGCAAUGAAUGAUACUGCGAGGGAGCAAUAGGUAAACUUUCAUUGAUGGUGAACUGUAAACACAAGAACAAAUGGAGGACAUUAUUUCUGGGUAUUUAUGCAGUGCACUCGAAAAUUUACAAGCUUUACAAAUCACCAACGUCCGACUGAUAACUUGACAAUCUCACACACAGGUCAACUUCAUGCAACUAAAAUUAAUACAAUAUUCGACUUUCUCUCUAUUUGUCUCUUCUUUUUUCUUGCCCCUUUUUUCUCCAAAGUACAUUCUUUUUCUUCACGUAUCUGUUUUGGUUUAAGGAUUUUAUUAUUGUAGAACCGGAAAUUUCCCAAAACAUCCUAUAUAGAAUAUUCAGGGGCAAAUAUAUAGAAAUCCUAAGGAGUAGACAAAUGAGGUGACAGAGGAGGCAAAAGUCCAACUAUAGGGUGAGGGGGGAAGACCUUCGGAGGGAACUUUGGAAGAGGAGGAAGCUUAGGAACUGGUGGAAAGGGUUUCUUGAAGGGGAAUGGUGGUUUUGGGAAAAAUGGGAAAGGUGGAAGUGGCUUCUGGUACACGGGAGGCUUGUAGAUUGGCACCGCCGGUGGGAGUGGCUUCUGGUACACCGGAGGCUUGUAGAUUGGCACCGGCGGUGGAAGUGGCUUCUGGUACACGGGAGGCUUGUAGAUUGGCACCGGCGGUGGGAGUGGCUUCUGGUACACGGGAGGCUUGUAGAUUGGCACCGGAGGCUUGUAGAUUGGCACCGGCGGUGGGAGUGGCUUCUGGUACACAGGAGGCUUGUAGAUUGGCACCGGCGGUGGGAGUGGCUUCUGGUACACAGGAGGCUUGUAGAUUGGCACUGGCGGUGGGAGUGGCUUCUGGUACACAGGAGGCUUGUAGAUUGGCACGGGCGGUGGACAUGGCUUUUUGACUACUGGAGGCUUGUAGAUUGGCACUGGCGGUGGAAGUGGCUUCUUGUACACCGGAGGCUUGUAGAUUGGCACGGGGGGUGGAAGAGGUUUUAUGAUUGGAGGAGGCUUGAUUAUGGGAACAGGCGGAGGAAGUGGUUUUUUGUAGAUUGGGAUUGGUGGUGGAAGUGGCUUCUUGUAAAUAGGGAUUGGUGGGAGUGGUUUCUUGUAGAUUGGGGGGAAAGGCAACUUAGGCAAAGGAGGGUGUGUAAACCAGGGAUGGCCCGUGGGCAAAGGUGGAUUCUUGAAGAAUGGCCACAAGAAAGCUGAAGCACACAGUGCUGAGGUGAACUUGACACUUUCAGCUGGACCAAAAGUCAGUUUUCCAUCAGUAUCUGGCUUGGCUACAAUUUUGUUGGCUUCAAGGCCAUUGUGCGCUGGGCAUGGGGUUGCUGAUGCACUAUGGAGUUGUGCAAAGCACUCCUCAUCUAGUUUCCCAUCUUUCAGAAUUUCUCUGGGAACGGAUACCCUGAACUUCCCUUCUGAAUCAAGCUCUCCAGAACCCCUUCUUGUCACCUCUCCAUUUUUGAGCUUGCAAUCAACAGUCACACGUAGCCCUGCAAAAGGCAAAAUCAAGAAUAUUCAAGGACUCUUUAUAAAGACGAUAGACUACACUGCAUGCAUUUUGGCCAUCAGUAGCAGAUACUUUUGGUUAUUUUUGUCAAUUAGCCUGAAUCCAUGCCAUGCCUCUCUCAACUGCAAAAUCUUUACUGCUGCGGCCCCAUUUAAGUAAAGUUAAAAUGAGCCAACAUCAUCAGAUCAAGGAUUAAUGCAUGGGACAAGCAUGAGAUGUAGACAGAGAUCUACCACACAAGUAAUUAAGUACAUGUACAGGUUCCAGUAAGUACAGCCGAAAGAAUGGCCUGCCAUUUUUAGUAAAUUUGGGAAUAUAUUGAAAGCGGUCAUGCUGUGCAAUUUGAGCUGUUUCACAUGAGCAAGCUAGGAUAAAACUAGUACGUUGUCAGAUACCCCUUACAAAAAGGUACCCAGGAUAGGACAAACCUGAGAAGGCCUGGCUAGUCUUGAUCUUAAAGUCCUUGCAAUCUGCGCAUUCUCCAGCCCCAACAACCUGGACCGUUUUGUCAUCAGCACGGCAAAAGCUGACAACAAAGAAGAUGCUAACCAAUAAGAACAGGAGAUGGGAAACACCCCUCAUUGAGUUUGCGGUUCCCUUCUCUCUUGUGAAACUAGUUUUGAGUGAUUUGAGUCAGAAAAGCGUUGUCAUAUAUAUAAUGAUGAUGAUCGCCAGGGGGAAGGGUCCGCCGACACCAAAACUUAAAGGGCAUCACAUGAGGUUAGGUCCCAGUGAGCUUGACUUAUGCCCCGGGAAAACAUUUCUCAAGCAUAAGUGAUCAAUGGCCAUUAUCUUCAUUCAAUGUCCUUUCAACUGCACAACCCGACUUUGUCCAUCUGUAAACCUACUUACCAGCGCCAUAAUUAAAUAUCACUCGCUAUUCUAAAAUCCCAUGUUGAAUUCGUGAAAGAUUUAUAUUGGGCUUUCUUUAGUUCCAAGAGUUAUUUUUGGCAGCAAAGCAUGGGCUCUAGCCAGUAAAGAAGUACCUGGACUUCUUGCUUAGAGAAUUACACACACACAAACAGAAAAACAAAAAGAGAAGGGCGCCAUGUGCUAGACAUUAAGUGACUAACUCCAAAAUCUCAAAAUCCAUGUGAAUAAACAAGCUUUUUACCCUAAUAAAUGAAUUUCCUCAACAGUCUCUCGGCCUUGCUGCAAUUCGAUUGGCCAGUAUUCAACCGUACAAGAAUUGCUUUCUUUCCAUUGCAUAAUGCACGAGAGACUGUUAAACAUGUCAGAUUAUGAGAAACUAUAUGUUGUUAUUGUUUCGCCAUGUCAGACUGUGGGAUACGGAAUUUUGAUUACAUACAGUAAUGGGUUAGAGCAAGGAGUAGUUAAGCUCUAGUUCGUACCCAAUAAUCGAGUUGCUACUGGAAAAAACUUGAAUGCAGCAGCUGGAUGGCAAUAAUGUUCACACUGCCCAUGGCUCUUGACUAGAAACUUGGCCUAAUUGAUCGGCCACUCUAACCAACCAAAGCAUGCUUCCCACCUAUGUUUCAAGGGCACAUGCACAGCCCCUUUCGGCCAGGAAGACAAGUAGGUGGCUGAAUUGUAAAGACUAGCUCAAAAAGACAGAUUUAAACAUGAAAAUGAUGUUCUAGCUAAUUAACAGGCGCUUUACUCGAUUCCUCCUGUGUAACAUUCCACGAAUUCAAAUGAGAGCCCUAAAGUUCCCUUCCGAUUCUUAGUAUUGAGAGCUGCAAUUAACCAUCCUAUAUAGUGUUCCGUAGGGAAGUUAAAAGCCUCAAAGGUCAUUCCUAAAUGGGAGUGAAAACAAGAAAUGGAAGUUCUUGCUAAAAAAGAAGAAGGAAGAAAGGUUGGGAUGCAGUGUUUGAUAAUGCCCGUCCGACACAAGAAAGAUAAUGUCCCCUGUAGAAAGAUAAUUACCAUAGAAGCCGCACACAAGGCUAUCAAAAAACUGAAUAAUGUAACGUGGUAAAGUAGCAUAUCAUGUACCAUGAAAUAGCUCUCCAUAGUUAAUUAAUCAAUCACUGCUGAUCAAUUCAGUCGUAGAAUUUGAGCGUAAACUAGGUUCAAAAGAUUGGUGAAAUGAGAUACUCCCUCCGUCCCACCUUCUUGAUAGUCCUGUUUUCCUUUUUCGUCUGUCCCAAAUUGUAGUCCACUUUCCAAUUGAAGAAUGUAGUUAUAUUUUAACUUUCAUAAAAUACCCUUAUUUAAUGUAAGUUGUUAUUACUAUAAACCUACCUACCCCAUUUAAUGAGAGUUAAUUCUCUUUUUACCAUCAAUUCAAGUUCCCAUAAAAUUGUACUCUAUUUAAUGUGAGAGUAUUUUAAAAAAAUAGCAAUCUAAAUUUAUUUUUCUAAUAAAAUUAACUACUUUUUCUUAAACUGUGUGAAAAAAGAGACCGAACUAUUAAGGUGGGACGGAGGGAGUACAUGUAAAGAACAUAAAACAAAAGAAAGAAAAACUGGUAAACGAAAAGGACUUGCAUGAAGUAGAGAAGAAAUCAGGUUAGAAUGGGUUUUGGUUGCUUUCUGGUACGCCAGUUUAAAUCACCUCAUCUAAGUUAAGCGACACUUAACCAGAAGAUUCGGUCCAUUUAAUGUAAAUGAAUCAACAAUCUGACUGUUUUGCUGACCAGAAGUGGGCCCAAUGAAGAAAAGAAAGCUCAAA